CACACGCGGAGGCCUGGUGAUGUAUGCUGCCUGCGAGCUGGUUCUGUAAGGCCAGGAGCAUCCCAGGUGGGACAGGGCUUCCCCGGGGUGUGAGGCUGGGACCAGGGAUCAGAGACCGUGGAGAGGAGCCCGGACAUGGCCUGAGAGGGGGAAGAGCCUGUGAGAACUCAGAGCUCCUGGCCUUCCUUACCAGGCAGGGGAAAGGAUGAAACUGGAUUGAAUGUACUGAUCUGCUUCUCCGCCAGGGUUGACAUGAGGCCAUGCCUUUCUGGAGCAUCAACUCUGUUCAGAUAUUGGAAUGGUACCUGUGGUUUUACAAUAGCAUGAAGACUUUUGCAACAGUAAUGGUUGGGUGAGCGGUGAUCUCAAGAGUUCAUUCUUUAGCACGGAAUUUCUCCUUUCGGAUCAUAGAUAAAUGGAAAACAGAAAUUGGAAGGGACACUUCUUACCGAGGGUCUCCUCUUUCAUGGAAGGUCACACUUUUCAGUCAGUGAAAACCAUUAUUUUAGUAUUGUGUCUCUUUUUUUUACAUACAGAAACACCUAUUUGGUAAAUGUUACACAUAUCCAUGCUUUAUGUUCUAUGUAAUAAGAGAAAUAACUUUUUUUCCCGGAGACAAUAGUUUUUGCUUCGGCACCAACCAAGACCAGGAUUUGCCAGUGCGUCCGUGAUUUGAUAGUUGUAAUGACUAUCUGGCCCCAAAACUAGUAGUGUGG